UCUUUUUUUUCCUUUUCCUUUUUUUUUUUUAGAAACAGGCCCUGGCUCUGCUGCUCAGGCUGGAGUGCAGUGGUGCAAUCAUAGCUGACCAAAGCCUCGAACUCCUGGGCUCAAGUGAUCCUCCAGCCUCAGCCUCCCAAAGCACUAGGAUUACAGGAGUGAGCCACUGCGCCCAGCUCUCUUUUCUUUUCUUUUUAUUUUUGAGACAGGGUCUCAGUCUGUUGUCCAGGACGGAGUGCAGUCGUGCAAACACAGCUCACUGCAGCCUCCACCUCCUGAGCUCAGGUCCUCCCACCGCAGCCUCCCAAGUAGCUGGGCUCCAGGCGUGUGCCACCAUGCCUGGCUAAUUUUUGUAGUUUUUUGUAGAGAUGGGGUUUCACCCUGUUGCCCAGGCUGAUCUUGAACUCCUGGGCUCAAGUGAUCUACCUGCCUUGGCCUCCCAAAGUGCUGAGAUGACAGCGCUUUGCUGGGAUUAGCCACGGUGCCACACCCUGGCUCCAUUUCCAAAAUUAAACUUGUAACAAAGUAAAAGAAAACUAAAGUUUAGAAAAAGUGUACCUCUUGCUUCCGAAGCCACGAUUACUUUGAGUUGAGCACUUUACCAAUGGGAUCUCAUUUAAACUUCAGAUAAAUCGUAUUGGAAAGGUUUAUUCCCAUUUUCAGAUGGAGAGAAUGAGGUUGAAUUUAACAUCACACAGCUUGGAAAUGGCAGAGCCAGGAUUCAAACUCCAGCCCAGCCUGGCCCAGAGACAAGCUUGUAACCACAGCAUCCUCACGCCUGCCAGAGAGAACAUGAGUCCAGCUGUGGCAGCCACAGUGGUCAUAGCUUAAAGGGAAGGUAAGGGCCAAAGUGUGCAAGGCCUGGAAUGCCAGCUAGAGGAAUGAGGCCUGGGUGGCAGAGAAGGCCUAGAGUCUCCUCCAUCUCUUCAUGACAGUCAGAAAUUCUGACUUUCUCAGUUUAGUUUGGGUAACAGUUCUGUAUUGGUUAGCAUCCUGGCAGGGAACAGAUGGCACAUUUAAAAUGGACAAUUUGGCUGGGCCCGGUGGCUCUCACCUGUAAUCCCAGCACUUUGGGAGGCCAAGGUGGGCAGAUCACUUGCGGUCAGGAGUUUGAGACCAGCCUGGCCAACAUGACGAAAUCUCGUCUCUACUAAAAAUACAAAAAUUAGCCAGGUGUGGUGGUGGGUGCUUGUAAUCCCAGCUACUCGGGAGGCUGAGGCAGGAGAAUCGCUUGAAUCCAGGAGGUGGAGGCUAAUUUUUGUAUUUUUUAGUAGAGAUGGGGUUUUACCAUAUUGGCCAGGAUGGUCUCGAUCUCCUGACCUCGUGAUCUGCCCGCCUCGGCCUCCCAAAGUGCUAGGAUUACAGGCGUGAGCCACCGCGCCCGGCCGUAUAUAUAUAUACCACAUUUUGUUUAUCCAUUCAUCCAUCAGUGAACAUUUAGGUUGCUUCCACCUGUUGGCUAUUGUGAAUAAUGCUGCCAUGAACACGGGGCACACUUUCUUUUCUUUUCUUUUUUUUUUCUUGAGACGGAGUCUCGCACUGUCGCCCAGGCUGGAGUGCAGUGGCGCGAUCUCGGCUCGCUGCAAGCUCUGCCCUCUGCCUCCCAGGUUCACGC
rnacentral:lncRNA from 1 species